GCUCAGAUUGAACGCUGGCGGCAGGCCUAACACAUGCAAGUCGAGCGGCAGCGGAAAGUAGCUUGCUACUUUGCCGGCGAGCGGCGGACGGGUGAGUAAUGUCUGGGAAACUGCCUGAUGGAGGGGGAUAACUACUGGAAACGGUAGCUAAUACCGCAUGACCUCGAAAGAGCAAAGUGGGGGAUCUUCGGACCUCACGCCAUCGGAUGUGCCCAGAUGGGAUUAGCUAGUAGGUGAGGUAAUGGCUCACCUAGGCGACGAUCCCUAGCUGGUCUGAGAGGAUGACCAGCCACACUGGAACUGAGACACGGUCCAGACUCCUACGGGAGGCAGCAGUGGGGAAUAUUGCACAAUGGGCGCAAGCCUGAUGCAGCCAUGCCGCGUGUGUGAAGAAGGCCUUAGGGUUGUAAAGCACUUCAGCGAGGAGGAAGGCAUCACACUUAAUACGUGUGGUGAUUGACGUUACUCGCAGAAGAAGCACCGGCUAACUCCGUGCC
rnacentral:rRNA from 1 species